rnacentral:lncRNA from 1 species
GGGAUGAACAGUUUUUGAUCUAUGAUUUAUAGAGCAUAUGAAAGAUUGAAGUUAAAUGCUAAUUAAUUUUAGAUUAGAUUUAAACUAAUUAGACUUAAUUGGAUCCAAAAUUUUAAGUUAGGCUUGGUAUAAAAGUCCUAAAGAGUUUGAGAUUGGUAGUCUUUCCAAAUUAUUUCAAACCAGCUUUGAAUUGGAUUCGAAUUGGAUCCAUUUUGGAUGAGAUAUGAAAAAUUCUUCUUGCACUGAGAUUUUUCUCUCAUAUGGGC